AAAUUAUGUUGUUUUUUGUAGUUUUUUUUUUUGUUUUUGUUUUUUUGCUUUUGGAAUCAUUCCCAUUUAUGUAUAUAUACUUA
rnacentral:ribozyme from 1 species